rnacentral:rRNA from 1 species
AACAAACGCUGGCGGCGUGCCUAAUACAUGCAAGUCGAACGGGGAAAGCUUUCGGGUGAGUACUAGUGGCGCACGGGUGAGGAACGCGUGGAUAAUCUGCCUUAGAGUGGGGGAUAACUAGUCGAAAGAUUAGCUAAUACCGCAUAAGACCACAGGAGCUGCGGCUCAAGGGGUCAAAGGUUUUUCGCUCUAAGAUGAGUCCGCGUAAGAUUAGCUAGUUGGUGAGGUAACGGCUCACCAAGGCGACGAUCUUUAACUGGUCUGAGAGGAUGAUCAGUCACACUGGAACUGAGACCCGGUCCAGACUCCUACGGGAGGCAGCAGUAGGGAAUAUUGCACAAUGGAGGAAACGCUGAUGCAGCGACGCCGCGUGAGUGAUGAAGGCCUUCGGGUCGUAAAGCUCUGUCGCAGGGGAAUAACACAAUGAAUGUACCCUGUAAGAAAGGAUCGGCUAACUUCGUGCCAGCAGCCGCCGUAAAAC